UCCCGCCGCUUAUCGGCUCCCGGCAGCCGCCAUGACGCCGAGAGAGCGAGCGCAACCGUCUCCGUCGUAGCCGCCGCCGCCGCCGCCACCGAGGUCGCCGUCGCCUCCGCCUCCCGCGCGACCAGCCGGAGUUGAAUUCCGGGAAGUGGGAGCUGCAGGCUCGCUCCGUGCGGGUAUGGACGCUGCUGUCACUCGGGACGGUUGCGCAAGGACUUCGCGGUGGAGAGACUGAGAGGGAACCGGGGAAGCAGGGGCAUGGGGAGAUGCUGAAGACUGUGAUGGGGCUCGAGGAACCGCAGAAGGGUCGCGCUGGAUUAGCCCAGGGAGCCGGGUCGUGCACGGUGUCCUGUCGCCCAGGCCUCGGCCCGCAUCUUUUCUCCGGUCCCCGGCCCCGUCUGAGUGCCUGUCCGGAGGGACAGAGAGGGACCCGCUGCGUCACACCAGGCAGCCUGAGACCCCAACUGUUGGGCAACUGUGGUCACCUCCGACCGCCUCCUACUCUUAGGCGACCUGCGACAGAGGCUCCCUUGGGGCCUCAGGCCUCCUAAGGGCGGGGCAACUGAGGAGACGGAGAGAAAAUAGAGACGAAGUUGUUGACAUCCUGUGACACUUCUUGAUUCAUCUGUGGGUUCAGAAAAAACUUUUACAACCUUUCUAGGUCCCUCCCUGCAGGACGGGUGGAGGGUGCGGUGCCGAAUCGCAACAAAAAAGCAACUCGAGGGACGUUGGUGACUGUCCAUGUUUAACGUGCUGCAAUUUAGUUGACGGUUUGUUUCGUAACUGUAACUGCGGGCCGCAGUUACAAGCCUAGAGAUGUGUGGAUGGAAACUCUGUCUUUUCAAGCGUGGUGGUGUCCCUCUUCACUCUUUUUGAAAGCGUUUUUUUAUUUUUGGAUCAACAUUGUUUUGCACUUCAUUAUUUUUUCCGGUCCACAGAUCAGUCUUGAAUCAUUCUGGGUUAACGAUAGUUUUUGAAACUUUCGAAUCCCAUUCUUCAGUUAUUUGAUUUGGUGUAAAGGCCCAACUUCCGAGUUCAAUGAGUUUGAAUGGGGUAGCUGCAUUCCCAAAAUAAUUCUUUUCGCAUGUGGAAAUAUUCGUUUUAAUCUACCAGCUGUUGAAACAGUUUGAUUCAAAAAGAUCUCAAAACAUAACUCCAAAUAUGAGUUCAUUUUAUGGAAGGGUAUAUUCACCUUUGGGGAGUAGGGGAAGGCAAGCAGGUACACAUGGGCUACUGAAAAAGAAUGUGUCAGUGAUCAACGGAAGAGGGAAACAAAAUGGAAAACUACCAUAGUUUGCAAAGUGAUCUGUGCUCCGCCUCUUUUUUCUUUCCUUUUUUCCUAGUUAUUAAAUAACUGUAGUGCUGGGUUGUGAGGAAUAACAAGACCAUAGAAAUCUCCAUCUCUGAAGCGCCUAAAAGUAGGAACCAAGUGCUAAUUUUUAAUAUGUUUUAAAAAUAUGAUAAAAGUGCCUUAAUGAUAGGAAUUUCCUGUGCCUCUAAUUUCUUUUUUGCAUUGCUAGAGUGGUAAGUAAAAGAUAAAAGCCCCAGAAAAACAGUAACUGUGGCAGAUAAAGAAUUUUGUGGUCAGAGGUGUGAUUGAGAUAAUAAGAGCCCUUAAUUGUAACUAUACUACCUUUUAUUGUCGUCUUACAAAAAAGAACUACUGUAUGUUCUUAAUCUAUUUUAUAUGUUUUCUGAAAGCACACGUCACACGUUUUUUAACUACUGACUUGCCAUUUGGAUGAGAUAUGCUGCAUAUAAAUCCUAGACACUUUUUUGCAGAAAAAAAAAUCUUGCCAAAUUUGUAAUAAAAUAUUGAACCUUGGAGAUUUAUAUUUCUGGUAAAAUCGUAGUAUACUUUAUAACUCCAUAGGAUUUUAGAAUGACUGUUGAGAAUGUGGAGAAAUACAAGGUAAGUGGAAAAUUGGAACAAUCUUGCCAGUUCAGUUUUUAGUAAGUUGAUAAAUAAGGCAAAAGUAUUUGUUUGACCAUUUGUUAUCUGCGUAGUUAAAUUCUCAGUUUCACUUUGUUUGAAUAAACUGUCUUUAUCUCUACCUAUGAGUAUUAAAAACAAUAGACAAACAGUUGAUAAUCUCAACACAUGACUAGCAAAAAUCUCUGAAAAAUAACAGCAACCAGGAAGUUUUUAUUCUUAGCUGAUUUCCCAUUUGGGACAUUUCAUAUUCUUUGGAAACUAUAUUGCUUUUAUGAAAUCAAGGACAGCACUUUGUGAGUCCUUAAUUCUAACACAUCCUACUAGGUGGGGAGAGAUUGAGAACCACUUAUCCAGAAUUGUGAGAUGUGUAACAUAAAGACAAUGAUAACUCUUACUUUUCUGUUAAUGUUUUGGAUGCCCAGAUGGGAUUUGAAUUCCAUAAUUAAGUUCUUGUUAAUUAGAGGAUUUGCCUACUAGAAGCUGCUGAAACAAUCAGGACCGUAUUAAACUACCCUAGAAUCUCAACCUAUGACAUCAUCCCUCAGGAUGUUGCCAAACAGAGGAACAGCUUUCCAAAUAUACUUAAAUUUACGAAGUCCUCUAUAAAUAGCACCCAUGAAAUUCUAAGUCACCUUACACUGAAAAUGUAUUAUACAUUUUCUGUUUUCUUAAUCAUGAAAAUUAUAGGAGAGGAGCUGUCAUUCCCAGUGUUGGGCAGGGAGCAGGAGUCAGUCACCUAGGAAAUUUUUUCCUAAUUACACAUGCCUGACAUUCUCAUUCCUCCCCUCUCCUGAUAUGCAGAAUUUAUAGGUUCUAGGUAGUGUUUGAAAAAAUAUCCUAGAUUGUUCUGAUAUCCACCAACAGCUCAUCCACCUCUCUUAUGGCCACUGUAUUGGGAUUUUUACUGAUAAAUUCUUGAAUCACAAUAAAUUAAGUUUUAAAUGGAAAGUUCUUAGAGAUGAUACUAAGAGGCAGCUAUGUAUAAAAGCUAAUAGACAUUCAAGUCUGGACACAAAGAUUCUACUUCCUCUACUUACAAAAUUAAGUGUGCACACAGAGUAAGAAAAAAGUUAAGUAGCUAAUCUCAAAAUAUCAAGUUGGUGUCUUGAUGCUAUGUCACUCUUCCUUCCCCUCAAAUCCUUUAUUUACUGCCCAUUUUACCUCGUAUCUGUUGUCAUCAGCCUUUCUUCUUAAUCCCCACUACUUUGUUUAUUUGGACCCUAUUUUCUUAUCAUUUCCUCCAGCUCACCCUGUAGGCUCCUUUCAGACUUGAAAUCUAAUGAAAGCACUCUCCUGCUUUAAAUACGUAUAUUUAAAUAUACCACAUAUAUUUGCAUACAUACAUAAUAUUUUAAUUACUUAGUCUGUUCACUCUCUGACCCCAGCAUCGCCUCCCAUCGUUCCUAGCAGACACUUGAUACUAGCUACGUAUUUCUUCAGGCCAUUGGAAAGGUAUCUUUCUCAUUGUUAACGGAUACAGUCUGUCUAUCCUGUGAAUCAGUGUCUUGUAGGUUUGUUUAAGUAAGUCAUCAAGAACUUUUGAGUGCCCUGACCCAAUUGGACUGACACCCUGUGGGACAUGACCGGCAGCCCUCUCACUUCCCUUUUCAGACAUCAAAUUGUGUAUUCUGUAAGUGCAGCUUGUCUUUGUAUUGUAAUAAACCAUUUUCUUCCAUA